AAGGACUGUAUGUGAAGGUAUGACUGUGCCAGUUUGCCAGCUGCUGUGUCAGAAGCACUGACUCCUGAACUUGAGGAGGACAUGAUGCAGAGUGAGGUGAUGCAAGGGGAGGCCCCAGAGCAUGAGACCCAGGGGAACAACAUUAACAUAUCCUAUGAACUACCAGUAGAGGGCGCUAAACUCAACAACAACCUGAUGGCAGUGAAAAGCCUGCCCUUUCCACCCCAGUCCUCCUCCUCUCCCUCUCCUCCAUCUCCUCCUCAACUCACUGACGGAUCCCACUUCAUGUGUGUGUAGACGUGUCGAGGAGGUGGUUCUGUGAACUGAACUACACUCACCCAGACAUUGACCUUGGUGAGCAGUGACUCAUAAGCGUUGCCAGCCUGGAGACCCAAGAUGGCAUCCUACAGAGCCAUGAUGGCACCAGCCAGCCUGCACAGAGCAUGCCCAGUAGCUCUCUGUAUGUAUAGAAACAACUGUAGCCAGACAGACAGAAAGAGUAGAUCCACAGGCCUGCUCGUAUUACUUACUGCCUGCCUACACAAUAACUGUGAUGCAAAACUUUUUCAUUCACACAGAGAUAUCAGAGGACGAGAUAGUAUUACCAGAGUGAUAAUUGAUGAUGAUUAUUAUAAUUACUGGUAUUAUGAUGGUCUGUUAUUUUGGACAUGUUCUGUGAGGAUGUCUUGAGUGUCUAUUAGCUGAGCACUGCUGUGAAAAGGAGAGGACUGUACAGUUGUAAAUAAGAGCAUUAGAGGAGUCUCACACUGGGAAGAUCUCAAUUGCAUACUCCUUUCUCAUCUAAUGGGUUCUGAGAAGGAGACAAGGACCUGAGGAUGGGAGGAGUAUGCAUUUGAGGUCUUCCCACAAUCACACACUAUUGAGAGGGCGAAGCACCAAAUCUACACACACUAAGGCAGUGCUUUACUUUAACCACACCGGGGCGCCAUAUGCUCUUGUCUUUUUUACUGGUUUUACUCCCAUUUAAGUUUUUAACCCGAUGCCCUAAACUUUUCAUUUUCCACAUAUUUUACACCGCACAUUCCCUCAUUGUUCAAAGAAGUUGUUAAUAUAUACAUAUAUAAAACAUAUAGAAUGAACUAACUAUUCAAUGGGUUUAUACUUCAAUAAGGUGCCACCCUAUUGCUGCUGUUGGACAGAGUUUAAAUAUUUUAUAAAAGUUGUGUUUAUUUAUGUCGGGAGGAUCGGAAUCUGGUCGCCGCUGACAACCACACGUAAAUGUCCUGGGUUAGAAUCGAUCUGCUUCUCUGUUUUUUUUUUUUCUACGGCUGAGAUAUAUUUAAAGUAAAAUAUAGAAGAGAGAUAAAAUAGUUUUAUGAGAUUAGGGUUGUGUGUUAGAUUCUGUCUGAUUGUGUGGAGUCCUGGACAGAGAGAAGAGAACAGCACAUGUAUAAGCAAUAAGCAGGCGUUUUGUUCCUCCAGGACAUUCAAAUAUAAUGUACAUAAAUGUAAAGUUUCAUUGUGUAAAUGAUGUACACCAUAGAA
ensembl:lncRNA